rnacentral:rRNA from 1 species
CCUACGGGAGGCUGCAGUGGGGAAUAUUGCGCAAUGGGCGAAAGCCUGACGCAGCGACGCCGCGUGAGGGAUGAAGGUCUUCGGAUCGUAAACCUCUGUCAGCAGGGAAGAACGGUCACUGUGCUAAUCAGCAGUGAAUUGACGGUACCUGCAAAGGAAGCACCGGCUAACUCCGUGACAGCAGCCGCGGUAAUACGGAGGUUGCGAGCGUUAAUCGGAAUUACUGGUCGUAAAGCGCUCGUAGGCGGUAUGUCAAGUCAAGGGUGAAAUCCCCGCGCUCAACGUGGGAACUGCCUUUUAAACUGGCAAACUGGAGUGUGUGCGAGGAUAGUGGAAUUCAAGGUGUAGGAGUGAAAUCCGUAGAUAUCUGGAGGAACAGCAGUGGCGAAGGCGACUAUCUGGCACAUAACUGACGCUGAGGAGCGAAAGCGUGGGUAGCAAACAGGAUUAGAUACCCCAGUAGUC